GGGCUCGUAGCUAAGCAGACGAAUGGCUUAAUAUAGCGCCCGAUUCGCAUUCGGGAGGCCGGGGGUGCGAUUUCCGCCUUUUAGGAAAAGGCGGCCCAAAACCCACAGUUAAUUGGGUUACGCAAAUCCCCUCGAGUCCA
rnacentral:tRNA from 1 species